rnacentral:misc_RNA from 1 species
AAGUCGUAACAAGGUUUCCGUAGGUGAACCUGCGGAAGGACCAUUAACGCGUAUCCAAACGUUAAAACCCCCCCCGUGAACCUUCAUCCUGCUCUUGUAACCCGCGUAGUUCGCAAUCUCUGAUAAAUCAUAGCCCGGAAAGUUGUAGUGAUUCAGAGACCUCUGGCUACGUGCGAACAUCGGAACAGUUACAAUCGAGCGGUAGCAGUCAGUGUCGGAAAGUGUCGUUGAUUGUGCAAGGAUAGCGCUUCUACGAUUCCUGUAGACCGUACACUCGGCAGGAGCUUUGCCAAAGGGUCCCCAUAUACAUUGGGUAAAAAAACCGAACAACUGUUAACAAUGGAUAUCUUGGUUCUCA